UGGGUGGCUGGUACGUGUUUCUGAGGGUUCUGUGGAGGCGUGGUAAUGGGAAUAGGUGUUGGGGUAGGUUGAGUGCGAAUUUUUUGUUCUGUAUGUUUCUGUGGUCUGGCUGGAGGGUAUUUUAGAAGUCUUCACUGAGCUGGCUCAGGCUUACUUCUAUGGGGUCUGCCUUUCAUUGAAUUUUAGUGAGGGCACAGGUGAGGG
rnacentral:misc_RNA from 1 species